GGGACUAAUCCAGCAUUUCCCCGGGGUGUGGGCUGGGGAGGGCUGGAGAAUAAAUCGGGGGUGUCAGUGACAAGGUGACAUUUGCACGCGCCCUGAAGACUGAGUGGUUUCCGAGGUUCUGUAGAGAAAGAUAGUGCGCAAGCAACUGAGGAAACCGUCUGAGCAAAGCCAGGAGGCUGAAAAGCAAAGGGGCCGAGAACUUCGUGGCACUCACUCAGAACAACUCGAGAUUCAUGCCCAGGUUCUCUGGUCAGGAAGCUUCAGGCUCCUCCGAGCCCACCCUGGGGACGUGCGGCACAGGGAAUCAGUGCAAGAAAAUACCAAUUCUCUGGAUCUUCUAUUUCUAUUUAACUGAUCCUCACAAAAGAAACCACAGAUCGAAGGCAAUUCUCGUGAUAUGGGCUCAAGAGAACAAGAAAGUGGAGGGGCUAACUCUCCUAACAGGAGACACAUUUGCAGGU